GCUGCAUGGCUGUCGGUCAGCUCGUGUCGUGAGAUGUUCGGUUAAGUCCGCUAACGAGCGCAACCCUCGCUGUGUGGUUACAAGUGUCACACGGAACUGCCGGUCAUAAACCGGAGGAAGGUGGGGAUGACGUCAAGUCAGCAUGGCCUUUAUAUCCUGGGCUACACACACGCUACAAUGGGAAGGGACAAUAGGUUGCGAAGCCGCGAGGCGGAGCCAAUCCAGCAAAACUUCCCUCAGUUCAGAUUGCAGGCUGCAACUCGCCUGCAUGAAGUUGGAGUUGCUAGUAAACGCAGGUCAGCCAUACUGCGUUGAAUACGUUCCCGGGGCUU
rnacentral:rRNA from 1 species